rnacentral:rRNA from 1 species
GAAGCGGCAAUAGCUCAAAUUUGAAAUCUGACCCUUUGGGGUCCGAGUUGUAAUUUGCAGAGGGUGUUUCGGGCGCGGUACCGGUUUAAGUCCUUUGGAACAGGGUGUCAUAGAGGGUGAGAACCCCGUAUGCGACCGGCCGCCAAACCUAUGUGAAACCCCUUCGACGAGUCGAGUUGUUUGGGAAUGCAGCUCAAAAUGGGUGGUAAAUUUCAUCUAAAGCUAAAUACUGGCCAGAGACCGAUAGCGCACAAGUAGAGUGAUCGAAAGAUGAAAAGCACUUUGGAAAGAGAGUCAAACAGCACGUGAAAUUGUUGAAAGGGAAGCGCUUGCGACCAGACCUGCUCGUGGGUGAUCAGCGGUGCUUUUCGCGCCGUGCACUCGUCCGCGAUCAGGCCAGCAUCGGUUCAGGCGGCCGGACAAAGACUCGGAGAAUGUAGCUUCCUUCGGGGAGUAUUAUAGCUCCUUGUGUAAUACGGCCAGCCGGGACCGAGGACCGCGCU